rnacentral:rRNA from 1 species
CACGUAGGCGGGUAUUUAAGUCAGGGGUGAAAUCCCGGAGCUCAACUCCGGAACUGCCUUUGAUACUGGGUACCUAGAGUAUGGAAGAGGUGAGUGGAAUUCCGAGUGUAGAGGUGAAAUUCGUAGAUAUUCGGAGGAACACCAGUGACGAAGGCGGCUUACUGGUCCAUUACUGACGCUGAGGUGCGAAAGCGUGGGGAGGCAAAACA